rnacentral:lncRNA from 1 species
AACAGCAACCUCUCCCUCUUACCUCCUGGUAAUGGUCUGCUGUGAUUCCUCCUUGUAACAUAUUUCUGUCUGGCUAUAAGCUGCCCACCCUUGAGAAUCCAGAGCAGCAAGGAAGGCAGUGCAAGCAAGUGGCUAGCCAAUGAUCUGGGCAAACUCCUGGAGCGUAGCCAUGUUUUUCCCAUUUAGCAGCUGUGUGACCUUGACCUUGAGCAAAUCCCAAGACCCUCAUCUGAAAAACAAACUAACUCAAAGGUCAACAUAAGAUUUAAACAGGACACGAAUAGUGAGGGUUUAACUCUUUCCUCUGCCUGUUGCAACAAUGCUAGCUAUUAUAUGCUUGGUGAGUUGUCCAUUUUAUUUUUAAUGAACAACAAAAACCAAUUCUUAAGAAUAUAACAGUGGACUCUGACCAUGUAGCUGCAUAUUGAUUUUAUCUAGAAGUAAUAAAUAAUAUCACUCUCUUGUCUCUCUAGAAACAUACAAAUAGAGAAAACACAACACGUAUUGAAUUCUUUGAGCAGUAACUUCUUCCUCCUCUAGGAAGAUAAACACUUCCACGUCCCUGUGCACAACCAUAAAGGUUUCUGCAAAACAGGCAAGCAGUCCCAUUAACAGAGAAUCGUGACUGCUAUUCUCUUCCAGAGACCCUUGCAACCCACCAAAAAUGUUUAGGGUAAGGACCUGAAAGUAUUUCCUUGGUCUGUCCCAGUAUCUGUCCACACACUCAUGUUCCUAGGUCUCUCUUCCAAUCAUGAGGUCUAAAGUAUAGUUGUCACCUCUUUUCUCAAACUUCAGAACAGUCUCUACUCUAAACUGCCCAUAUUUCCCAAUCAGGCACCCUCUAAACUCCUCAGCCCCAUUUCAAUCAAGAUAGACUUGAAGCCACACUUACCAAGGUUAUUUCUAUUCCAAAGUUCUUGCCCCCAAACCCACCAACUACCUCCUAAUUGAGCAUAAGCCUAAUGCAUAUUAAAUAACCAAUGCAAGUUUGUAGAAUGAGGACUAAGUGUUAGAUGGUAGACAAUUGCCAAUAACAGAAGGCAUUCAUUAUAGAAUUUGAGAAGCAAGGUUUUAUAUGGAUAGCAAGCACUUUAAGGGUUUUUAUCAAGCCCAUGCAUUUAGCUACUGGAAGUUCUUUUUUAUUAUUAUUGAGUCUAAUUGGAAGGAAAGCAUUGUUGCAUAGGUAUCUCUAACUCUUGCAUGUGUGUGUGUGUGUGUGUGUGUGUGUGUGUGUGUGUGUGUGUGUUCACACCUGUGGUACAUGUGUGAAAGAUGUCUGAAAGAUGCAGGUGCAUGUGUGUUUGUGCUUAUAGAGGCUGUAUGUCUUCCUCUAUCAUAUUUUAUCUUAUAUAUUGAGGCAAGAUCUCACACUAAAACCCAGAGCUUGCCAAUUCAGUGGGUCUAGCUACCUGAUGCUCAUGGAAGGGGAAGAGAUCUCUUUCCUCAGCUUCCUGAGAACUUGAGUUACAGACAGGUCAUUGUGUCUAACCAGCUUGUAUGUGGAUACUGGACAUCUAAACUCAGACCUUCAUAUUUGUGCAGUUAGUCUUUUAGUGUUAUGCCAUAUCUCCAGCCCCUCUCCAGCUUUUUAAUAGGUAUGACUCUGGUGUUUUGUGCUUAGCUAUCUGUUGUAGGGCUCAGGACUUGAGGACCCCAUAGCAGAAAGCUACACACUGAAGUAACAAACACCUAGGAAGCUCUUUAGUAGAAAAAUAUCAUGCCCACUGCUCCUGGAAUUCCAUCACGAUUGUGACAUUGCUACAGAUGAUGCCUGGUGGCUUUCCUACUAUGUGUUACCAAACACAUGGCCCUGAGUAAGUCAUGGAUGAGGCCACGGGUUCUGCAGCAUAUAAGACAGUGUAGAUAUUACUGUCAUUGUCUAGAUGAGAAAACUGAGAUCUGAAGAAGAAAGCUUUGUUUAUAAGACACAGAUUGUGAAAUGUAGCAUAACCUACAUCAGCCAGCAAGGUUUCCAGUUAGAACAAGUCAGUGAAUUGAAUAAGCAGAGAAAAAUAUUCCAAGGCAGAGUUCAUGUACAUCAGUAGGAUCUACUCUCAGCUAGACUCAUCUAGAUCUCUCCUGAGGAGUGUCUUAAGGUUCAGGGUAGACUGUGUAGGAAAAGGUCGCAUAAGGAAGAAACUAGAGAGGACAAUUGCACCUAGUGAAUUCUCUGCAUGCCAGAGUCUAUACUAAGGGUUUUACAUCCAUUAUCUCUACUAAUCCUCAAAACAUUCCUGUGGGUACCACUUUCACCAUUGGAAGGGUGUAGCAACUGAAGCUCACUGAAGGGAAGAGACUUGUCCCAGGCUGCCCAACCUCUCAGUGGUGUUUGAACAAUUAAGAUCUUGUAGGUUCCUCAGACUCUGUGGCUUGAAAAAGAAAAGAUUUGCCACGUACAGGGAGAAUAAAA